rnacentral:rRNA from 1 species
GGGGUGCAGCAGGCGCGAAUACUCCGCAAUGCGGGCAACCGCGACGGGGCCACCCCGAGUGCCGGGCGAAGAGCCCGGCUUUUGCCCGGUGUAAGGAGCCGGGCGAAUAAGCGGGGGGUAAGUCUGGUGUCAGCAGCCGCGGUAA